GACGAACGCUGGCGGCGUGCUUAACACAUGCAAGUCGAACGGAAAGGCCCUGCUUUUGUGGGGUGCUCGAGUGGUGAACGGGUGAGUAACACGUGAGUAACCUGCCCUUGACUUUGGGAUAACUUCAGGAAACUGGGGCUAAUACCGGAUAGGAGCUCCUGCUGCAUGGUGGGGGUUGGAAAGUUUCGGCGGUUGGGGAUGGACUCGCGGCUUAUCAGCUUGUUGGUGGGGUAGUGGCUUACCAAGGCUUUGACGGGUAGCCGGCCUGAGAGGGUGACCGGCCACAUUGGGACUGAGAUACGGCCCAGACUCCUACCGGAGGCAGCAGUGGGGAAUAUUGCACAAUGGGCGGAAGCCUGAUGCAGCAACGCCGCGUGCGGGAUGACGGCCUUCGGGUUGUAAACCGCUUUCGCCUGUGACGAAGCGUGAGUGACGGUAAUGGGUAAAGAAGCACCGGCUAACUACGUG
rnacentral:rRNA from 1 species